AUUGAACGCUGGCGGCAUGCCUUACACAUGCAAGUCGAACGGCAGCACGGGAGCAAUCCUGGUGGCGAGUGGCGAACGGGUGAGUAAUGUAUCGGAACGUACCUUUCAGUGGGGGAUAACGUAGCGAAAGUUACGCUAAUACCGCAUAUUCUGUGAGCAGGAAAGCAGGGGAUCGCAAGACCUUGCGCUGAUUGAGCGGCCGAUAUCAGAUUAGCUAGUUGGUGAGGUAAAGGCUCACCAAGGCGACGAUCUGUAGCGGGUCUGAGAGGAUGAUCCGCCACACUGGAACUGAGACACGGUCCAGACUCCUACGGGAGGCAGCAGUGGGGAAUUUUGGACAAUGGGCGCAAGCCUGAUCCAGCCAUGCCGCGUGAGUGAAGAAGGCCUGAGGGUUGUAAAGCACUUUCAAUCGUGAAGAAAAGUUGCAGGCUAAUACCCUGUGACCUUGACGUUAACGAUACAAGAAGCACCGG
rnacentral:rRNA from 1 species